rnacentral:rRNA from 1 species
GACGAACGCUGGCGGCGUGCUUAACACAUGCAAGUCGAACGGAAAGGCCCUGCUUUUGUGGGGUGCUCGAGUGGCGAACGGGUGAGUAACACGUGAGUAACCUGCCCUUGACUUUGGGAUAACUUCAGGAAACUGGGGCUAAUACCGGAUAGGAGCUCCUGCUGCAUGGUGGGGGUUGGAAAGUUUCGGCGGUUGGGGAUGGACUCGCGGCUUAUCAGCUAGUUGGUGGGGUAGUGGCUUACCAAGGCUUUGACGGGUAGCCGGCCUGAGAGGGUGACCGGCCACAUUGGGACUGAGAUACGGCCCAGACUCCUACGGGAGGCAGCAGUGGGGAAUAUUGCACAAUGGGCGGAAGCCUGAUGCAGCAACGCCGCGUGCGGGAUGACGGCCUUCGGGUUGUAAACCGCUUUCGCCUGUGACGAAGCGUGAGUGACGGUAAUGGGUAAAGAAGCACCGGCUAACUACGUGCCAGCAGCCGCGGUGAUACGUAGGGUGCGAGCGUUGUCCGGAUUUAUUGGGCGUAAAGGGCUCGUAGGUGGUUGAUCGCGUCGGAAGUGUAAUCUUGGGGCUUAACCCUGAGCGUGCUUUCGAUACGGGUUGACUUGAGGAAGGUAGGGGAGAAUGGAAUUCCUGGUGGAGCGGUGGAAUGCGCAGAUAUCAGGAGGAACACCAGUGGCGAAGGCGGUUCUCUGGGCCUUUCCUGACGCUGAGGAGCGAAAGCGUGGGGAGCGAACAGGCUUAGAUACCCUGGUAGUCCACGCUGUAAACGGUGGGUACUAGGUGUGGGGUCCAUUCCACGGGUUCCGUGCCGUAGCUAACGCUUUAAGUGCCCCGCCUGGGGAGUACGGCCGCAAGGCUAAAACUCAAAGGAAUUGACGGGGCCCCGCACAAGCGGCGGAGCAUGCGGAUUAAUUCGAUGCAACGCGUAGAACCUUACCUGGGUUUGACAUGGAUCGGGAGUGCUCAGAGAUGGGUGUGCCUCUUUUGGGGUCGGUUCACAGGUGGUGCAUGGCUGUCGUCAGCUCGUGUCGUGAGAUGUUGGGUUAAGUCCCGCAACGAGCGCAACCCUUGUUCACUGUUGCCAGCACGUUAUGGUGGGGACUCAGUGGAGACCGCCGGGGUCAACUCGGAGGAAGGUGGGGAUGACGUCAAGUCAUCAUGCCCCUUAUGUCCAGGGCUUCACGCAUGCUACAAUGGCUGGUACAGAGAGUGGCGAGCCUGUGAGGGUGAGCGAAUCUCGGAAAGCCGGUCUCAGUUCGGAUUGGGGUCUGCAACUCGACCUCAUGAAGUCGGAGUCGCUAGUAAUCGCAGAUCAGCAACGCUGCGGUGAAUACGUUCCCGGGGCU